rnacentral:rRNA from 1 species
UACGAAGGGGGCUAGCGUUGUUCGGAUUUACUGGGCGUAAAGCGCACGUAGGCGGAUCGAUCAGUCAGGGGUGAAAUCCCAGAGCUCAACUCUGGAACUGCCUUUGAUACUGUCGAUCUGGAGUAUGGAAGAGGUGAGUGGAAUUCCGAGUGUAGAGGUGAAAUUCGUAGAUAUUCGGAGGAACACCAGUGGCGAAGGCGGCUCACUGGUCCCAUUACUGACGCUGAGGUGCGAAAGCGUGGGGAGCAAACAGG